GAAGAACUGUUGCAUUUGCCCU
rnacentral:miRNA from 1 species